rnacentral:rRNA from 1 species
UGGGGAAUCUUGGACAAUGGGGGCAACCCUGAUCCAGCCAUGCCGCGUGAGUGAUGAAGGCCCUAGGGUUGUAAAACUCUUUCGCGCACGACGAUAAUGACGGUAGUGCGAGAAGAAGCUCCGGCUAACUUCGUGCCAGCAGCCGCGGUAAUACGAAGGGGGCUAGCGUUGUUCGGAUUUACUGGGCGUAAAGCGCGCGCAGGCGGUCCUUCAAGUCAGGGGUGAAAGCCCAGAGCUCAACUCUGGAACUGCCUUUGAGACUGUAGGACUUGGGUAUGGGAGAGGUGAGUGGAAUUCCGAGUGUAGAGGUGAAAUUCGUAGAUAUUCGGAAGAACACCAGUGGCGAAGGCGGCUCACUGGCCCAUUACCGACGCUCAGGCGCGAUAGCGUGGGGAGCAAACAGGAUUAGAUACCCCCGUAGUCC